rnacentral:rRNA from 1 species
UACUGACGUUCAUGCUNGAAAGCGUGGGUAGCAAACAGGAUUAGAUACCCUGGUAGUCCACGCCCUAAACGAUGUCGAUUAGCUGUUGGGCAACUUGAUUGCUUAGUAGCGUAGCUAACGCGUGAAAUCGACCGCCUGGGGAGUACGGUCGCAAGAUUAAAACUCAAAGGAAUUGACGGGGACCCGCACAAGCGGUGGAUGAUGUGGAUUAAUUCGAUGCAACGCGAAGAACCUUACCUGGUCUUGACAUGUACGGAAGAACUCAGAGACGAGUUUGUGCCUUCGGGAGCCGUAACACAGGUGCUGCAUGGCUGUCGUCAGCUCGUGUCGUGAGAUGUUGGGUUAAGUCCCGCAACGAGCGCAACCCUUGUCAUUAGUUGCCAUCAUUUAGUUGGGCACUCUAAUGAGACUGCCGGUGACAGACCGGAGGAAGGUGGGGAUGACGUCAAGUCCUCAUGGCCCUUAUGACCAGGGCUUCACACGUCAUACAAUGGUCGGUACAGAGGGUAGCCAAGCCGCGAGGUGGAGCCAAUCCCAGAAAACCGAUCGUAGUCCGGAUUGCACUCUGCAACUCGAGUGCAUGAAGUCGGAAUCGCUAGUAAUCGCAGGUCAGCAUACUGCGGUGAAUACGUUCCCGGGUCUUGUACACACCGCCCGUCACACCAUGGGAGUGGGGGAUACCAGAAG